rnacentral:rRNA from 1 species
GACGAACGCUGGCGGCGUGCUUAACACAUGCAAGUCGAACGGAAAGGCCCUGCUUGCAGGGUACUCGAGUGGCGAACGGGUGAGUAACACGCGGGUGAUCUGCCCUGCACUUCGGGAUAAGCCUGGGAAACUGGGGCUAAUACCGGAUAGGAGCCCUUUUUCGUGUGGUGGUUGGAUAGAUUUUUCGGUGUAGGAUGAGCUCGCGGCCUAUCAGCUUGUUGGUGGGGUAAUGGCCUACCAAGGCGGCGACGGGUAGCCGGCCUGAGAGGGUGGACGGCCACAUUUGGACUGGGAUACGGCCCAGACUCCUACGGGAAGCAGCAGGGGGGGAUAUUGCACAAUGGGCGCAAGCCUGAUGCAGCGACGCCGCGGUGGGGAUGACGGCCUUCCGGUUGUAAACUCCUUUCGCUAGGGACGAAGCUUUUUGUGACGGUACCUAGAUAAGAAGCACCGGCUAACUACGUG